AAUCUCAACCCUCCUAGGUUUUUGACCUGGUUGGGCUUGGACAUGGGCGUCUGCCAGCAUUGGCUCGCCUCAAAUGACUUAGUGGAACAUCCCACAUCAGUGUUAGACGUAAUAAGUUUCGUCUCUCCUUGUGGUGAUGACUGCUCAUAAUCUGCCAUCGCGCACUUUGA
rnacentral:misc_RNA from 1 species